rnacentral:tRNA from 1 species
GUUGCCGUGGUGUAGUGGUUAUCACGUCAGUCUUACACACUGAAGGCCCCCAGAUCGGUCCUCGGCAGUAACA